rnacentral:lncRNA from 1 species
UUAACUGUAGGUUGUGAGUUUGUGAUGUUUUUCAUAGUGAUUUGUGGAUAUGUUAAGAACAAAACUUUUGUAUAUUUAAUGGUUAGUCUUGUACCUUAAAUGGUUGUAUUUAGUUUAUUUAUUGUGGUUGUUGGCUACUUGGUAUUGUGUCAUUUUGACUCACUGAUGGUUGUGUUAAUUUCAGGUACAUUUAUGUUGAGUUAUAUGAUUUUUAAAUUGAUUUUCUAGACCAUACAUACUGUGCAUUAAAUGUUGAUCCAUAUAUCUGUACUAUACAGCUUAACAUGGAAGAUGGCUUUUUUUUUACCAUUAUAAUGCCUCUUAUUUUUAUUAAGUUGAUGGAGGAAAUAAUUAUAAUUCAAGAUUAUGAAUUUCUUCUUGCUUAUGAAAAGUUCUGAAAAAUUAUCAAGUUAAGACAGUGGGAUGAUAAAAGUUAUAAACUGGAAUUAGUUAUUUCAAUAAUUAGUUUUAUGCCCUUAAAAAGAGGAUUUCAUGCUUUCGAACGCUUCUCAUAUGGUUGUAUAGAAAUAUUUUUGGCAGUAAUUGUGACCACUAUCAGUGCUCUAUCAUAUACUCUUUCCACUUAGCACCUGUUGCAGUUCAUGGAUGUUGAUUAGUUAGUGGUUAAGUGUCUUGUGUAAUGAACAUCCACAAAUUGUGACCAUGUUUAGGAGGAAUACUUGUGUUAAGACAUGAAAUCAGGGGUUCAAAGUUGGCAUAACAAUUUUGGAACUGUGGGUGUGCCUAAAAAUCAGUGUUAUGCCAACUUAAUCUAGUACCUGUUUUGGGAGAUAUUUGCAAAUCCCCAUCACAUGAAUAUUUUUACAUGGAUAAGUCCAGGGGUUGAGAGUUGCCAUAAUACUUUGUGUUAACUUUUAUUUGCACAUGUAUACAAGUGCAGUUGCUCCAAAAAGGGUUGUCAAAAUCUUUCAUUCGUUGUGUCAUAUUGUAAUGAUACUUUUUUGGAGCGAUUGUACAUGCAUACACACACACACACACACUCACACACACACACACACAUAUAUACACAUACACAUGUAUGUUCCAAAAGUAGUGCUGUGUCAACUUUGAACUUUGGUAUGAUCCCCUAAAUGUGUGCAUAUAUCAUCAUUGGCUUAAAAGUACAUGUAAAAUUUAAGUAAGUGAAAAAUUUUCAAAAUUUCAGAGUUAGUGUUUGUUCAAGGGUUUAACCUCUAGUGGGUCAAUAGUAUCAUUAUUUUUGUUCUCUUCUUUUUGGUAAUGGCAGUACAGUAGAGUACUAUACAUUAUAUAGUACUUAUUCAUAAUUGAUCCCAAAAUUUUAGUAAGUGUUUGAUCCAUAAUUGAUUUUAGUAAAUUUUAUUGGUGAAACAAUGUUGAGGUGUAUUUCAUUGUCGCACAUGUUGUGUGUGUAUGGUUGUUCAUCUCACCGUACUCUUGGGAAGAUUUAUGUGUCCGUACAUUGGCCUGCUGUAUACAAUACUGUACAGUAUAAGACUAGUGGUCAGCAACUGUGUUGCUUUGUAUGGCUGGAGAAACUUUUCCCGUGUUAGUAAUUUAUAUUUUCGGAAACUAUAUUUUGACAGGGUUUUCUAGUAAGAAGCAAUACAGUACAAGAUUAAGUUUUGAGAGAUUUGCUUCAGUGAAACAGAUUUGUAAAAUUAUGACAUUCAUCUUGUUUAGAUGGGGAAAAGUGCUAGGAAUAAAUUUUUAGCCAAAAUUUUAGCUGUCUCCAACGUCCUUGAAAAUGUUUAUUAAUAACAGUGGGGUAUAAUGUUUGUGUACACAAGUACAUGCUGCCUUAAUUUAAAGAGGUAAAAUUUGAAUUAUAAACCUCUAUACAUUAAAUGGCCCACUGCAAAUCUCAAAUUCAUCUUUCCUUGGGUAUCAUUUGAAAAUAGAUUUUUUGCUUUUGGUACAGAUUUUCAUAUAAGUUAAAGGACAAUUUUUUUUAGAUUUCUGAAUUUUAAUUGAUUUCAUAAAUAUGCCACAUUCAAUUUUCCUUUUAAAAGACCUCGUUUAAAUUUAAUUAUUUUUGCUUGUUCUAUAUCAUUUUGAAUUAUUGUUCACAUGUGCACUUGGCAUCCAUACGAACAAUGAAAGUCAGAUUUGUUAAAUAAGAAUAUUCACUGGAAUAUACAGUAAUUUUGUACAUCAUGAUUAAUUAUUGACACACCCAACAGGUGGUGUCACUUUGGUCAUAAAUGUUGAAACUGAUGCUAGUAGCCAGCCUCUUUCUUACUUGGUAUUUAUUUAUUUAUUUAUUUGUUAUUUAUAGGGGGGUGCCUCCUCUGGUUGUAGUGUUGGGACCUUUAUCCUUACAGUAGUGAACAGAGAGAGCAAAGCAAACUGGGGUAUGGGAUGUUUUCUCCCUGGUUAUGUUUGCAUAUACGUACUGUAGUCUUCUCGUCCAUCCCUCUUUUGGAAUAUACUGUAUAUAUUUGUUUAUUUACAUAUUGAGAGAUUUGAAUGGUUUAUAGGAGUGGCUGAGAAAGGUUCACUAAUCCAGGACCUGAGGUUUGUUAGGGUGAUCCAACACAAACAUUUUCUCUCACUGUCAUCACUAACCAGAUAUGGAAAUUGUUAUCAGUUGUUACCUUCCCUAACACUAAUAAGAAUUUUUCUUGAUCACAUCUUGCUUUAUUAACUUUUUAUUAUUUUAUCCGACCCCUUACUUACUCCAGUGAAUUUUACAUUAUUAUUAAUACACCCAGGAAAUACAAUGAAGGAGUUCCUAUGAUUUGGUGCAUAAUAUUGAUUAAUACUUAGCAAUGGUGUCAGUUUUGUGUUCAUCUACAAUAUUGUGUGAUGCUAUGUUACCUGGUGCUGCAGUUGUGGCUGCUUACUACGAGCCAUUGUUUUGUUAAGGAAAAAUAAAUCCUGCGAGUGAUGUAUAUUGUUCUUCUGAGUGAUGUGUUGCUUGUGAAUGAAUGCCUUAUUUUGGACACUGCAGUUGUUUUGAACAGGUCUACUGCCUUUCUUUUGUUGGGGAAUUUCUCUCUCUUGUGUGAUUUUAAUCUGAACUGAACAAAUACAGCAGUAUGAAAAGUUAGGGUUACUAAUCUCAGGUGAAUGAAAUUACAUGCAUACAUAGACAUAUACAUACAUACAUACAUACAUACAUACAUACAUACAUACAUACAUACAUACAUACAUAGAGAGAGGGAGAGAGUGAGCGAUAUACUGUACAAAAUAUAUUUUCAUACAAAGCUUCAGGUGUAGUGCAGAUUGGCUGGACAGGUGUUGAUUUGAGGCUCCCAUUCAGCUAGUAGGUUGUUCCACCGCUUCACCCAAGGUUGUCUGCCAUCGCUAGCAUAUUAAGAGGGAACCCAGUCUUGCACUUUGUUUGGGAAUAUAACACUUGACACUAAUGUUGGGAGUGUGUGUGUUAGGCUAUGGUGUUGGAGUUUUUCUUUUCUGUUUCUUUAAACAUCACUUAUACCUACUCUGGAAAGCUGUACUGUAGUGAAUUUGAUAAAAGUCCACAGCUUGAAAGCAAAGCCAACAACCUUCUCACAAAGACAGCAGAAACAGCUACCGGUAGAGUGAGUGAGUGGUUAGAUGGUAAUGCCCUUUUUCCAUGAUCCUCUCCCCCUUCCCCCACUAGCAUGUCAACAUGAGUUAAAAUGAAGUGACAGUAUUUGAGUUUUGUUGUUGAUAGAAAUAUGACUUCAUAGUUCUCUUGGUAAGGUAUAUAUCUUUGAAUUCUUCUGUGAAACUAUAAAGUAUUGUUUUACAUUUACCAUUUGGUUUUACCUUGAUUCUUAUUAUACAUCAGAGAGACAUGGCUUAAAACCUGUGUAGGUAACACUGAAAUUAAAUCCCACUGUAGGAGAAGAUAAAACAGAAAAACAAGAGCAUUUUGUAUUUUGACCGUAACCUAUAGUCCUCUUCAGCAGUGGGGUUUGUGUGUUAUAAUUUAUGUGGUACUCUGUUACAUAAUUUUCUCAGCUAUCUAGCUUGAUUCUGUAUAACUGGAAGGCCUUCUUAUGAUAGCCCUUUUUUGUUCAUCAGUUUUGAAAGACAUUGAAGAGCUGUUUUUAUCCCCUUGUUUGGUAAAGUGCUUAUAUUUAACUUCCUUUAGCCAACAAGCAUUGCAUCCUCUCAGAGCUACUGUUUUGUACAGAAAGCAAAAUUAUUCUGUUACAGCAUAAGACACUUGUUCCUUUCUAAUCCAUUUUGGUGUUGUGUUGCAUAAAUGUUUUCACCUUUGCAAGUUCUUGGCUGGUGCAUGUGGUUACUGUGCUGAUGUGACUGCCAUACUCACAUCUCUUUUCAGUUUAAUUGUUGUAUGGGCUUCCCUUGUGUGGUGGAAAGUUGUCAGUUGAGUGAAAAUCUGCUAAACAGUUGUCAUUUUCCUAUUGAAACCCAUUGCAGUAUACAGUACAAUUAUUAAUAAAUACAGUACAGUAUGCACAAAAAUUCUGUAAUAAAUACUUAGAACUCAAAUUUAGUCAUAAUAGAAAUACAGGGUCAAGUACACUUUCCAGACACUGGUGAUAAACACUUGAGUGUCUGACUUCUGUCAAUCCUCAUUAACUUAUCUAAUUUCACCUCAAGUAAUAAUCUUCCUGUUUUUUUUUAUAACAUCAGUACUUAAUGAUCUCUUGCCAGACAUAAUUAGAGGGGUGAAUUGCCUUGAAAAGUGAAAAUCAAAACAAACCAGAACUGCUAAACACAGAAUUUACAAGUGAAGUGUGGGAAUUACACUAACGAAAAGUGCCACUAAUGUCAACUCAAAGUAGGAGACUUACUCUGACAAACAGAAGACCUUUAUCUACAGGUUUAACAAAUCAUUCCCCCAUCCCCUCAUUUUUCCCUCUGUUUAUAUUUAAAAUUUUGAUAGUCCAAGUUUGUGAAAUUUUUACCUUAAUUUUUACAUUUCAUAACUUCACAAUUCUGCACAACACACCUCUUUUUCAUUAACCUCACCUUGAAUAUUACCACUUUAUGUUGUAAUGAGAAAGGAUUGUAAGAGAAAAAUUGGUAUGAAAGAGUGAAUAUCAGAAUGAACUAGUGCAUUUAUUUAGCCAUAUUCCUUGAGGUAGUUAGAAUAGUAUGUUGUCUUAGGCUGAAAGAUUUUAAUGAAAUUUGGCUUUUUUGUGUGUCCUUCAUCCUUAAAUGCCAUAGAGCAAUGUAACAAUAAUAAUCUGCAUAAGUCAUCAGGUUUUAUAGAAAGUUAGAGCAUAAUGAUUGAAGGUGACCUGGCCAUGUCUCUUUAUCAAUACAGUAUUUUAGUUUCACGUAAGAUUUCAUUUAUAAUUUUUCAGUACUUGUACAGUCAGACCAUAAAUUACAGGCAUCCCCCAGGUUACGGGAGGCAUGUGUCAUUGAAAAUUUGUCCAUAACAUGAAAUUCCAUAAUGCAAAACCAAUUUUCCCAUUGACUUCCAUUAUAUAAUUGGAGAUGUGUUCCCAGGGAAAUAUUUUUGGCAAAAAGAUGUAAUACAAUCACAUUUAUGAAUGAAAUUAAUAUUUUUUUAAUACAUACAUUGAUUAUUUUAUGAUAUAAUAUGGUAAUAAAUAUGCAAUACACUUGAAUUUAACUUACCACAAACGAUGUUGAGUGCUGCGUUAGGUGAGGUGGUGCAAUCGGAGUUACUGGGAGGGAGACGAAGGGGCACUACUGGCUCCUGCCUCGCCCUGUACAGUAUUGUAGAAAUCCACACGAAAUAAAUUUUAUAAUUUCUGUGAAUUUUUUUCUAAUACUUGUAGUAUUGAAGAAAAAAAAUUACUGUACCGUACUUAAAAAAUUUACCCAAUUUCCGUAAGGGCGAAUUUUUUGUCCGUAUCCCGAAUUUAUUGGUCAUCAUUUACAAAAUCCGUAAGAGCGAAUUUCCAUAACCCGGGGGAUGCCUGUAAUUUUACCUCUGGAGUUUGAUGGAUUUAAAAAUGAACACUUCCUCUCUUGUCUUCUUGAUAUGGUUGGUAAUCGUGAUUGAAAAGUCAUUUCCAUUAUCCCUAUUUUCUGAAAUAUUCUCAUCAUAUUUUAAAACAGAAUUACACAAAAAAAAUUGCCUUAUGAUUUAGAUUUUUUUUUUUUUAGAUUGCCCCCGAGGGGGCUAGUUUAUUGGGCACCCCCCUUACAUCCUGUGCAAGGUGAAGCGCAGAAGCGUUUACAGCGCCCAUCUGGGAAGCAUACUAAGUUCAUGCUUGCCUUUAUGACUCGUGCAUUAAGGACUUAUGAUAAGUUACAUAUUCCUGUACAAAGAAAGCAGGGCUACCAAUGUGAAGCCAGGUGAGAGCUUUGUACUGAAUUUUUGCUGGUUUGUCAUAUUGUUUGUCACUGAAAGGGAUAUAGUAAUUUAUGGUCUGUCUGUACAUAACUAUUAGACUGUACAGUCACAAUCCAAAGUUUCAACACCCCCCCUGGCUGGGUGUUCGCUGAGGCCAGGGUUGAGGUAAGGCUGGGUGAUCGGACGCAGACUAGUUAAGCAAUGUGGCAACGAGGCACUACAGUGCUCGUGUGCUGUGAGUCUCGGAGCGUUGUGGUGGUGGAAUGUCUGCAUCCGAUCACCCAGCCCUGGCUUCGGUGAACACCCAGCCCGAGGUGGGGGGUGUUGAAACUUUGGAUUGUGACUGUACAGUACAGAACAAUUAGACAGAAUAGAAGUUUGUUUUGUGUGUAUUUACUUACUGUAAUAUCAUUUGAUGGCCACAAGCUUGUAUUCUAUAAUUGAACUGAGUCUGUUUCCCUUAGUUGGUUUUAAGUGAACUACGGUAGUCAUCCAUUUUACAAGUGACAGUAGUUAACCUUGAGUCAGAUGGAGCAUACAAUGUCCCCUUGACGGAGAGAGAAUUGCUGCUGUUAUGUACCAAAAGUAUUUCAUCUGGAGAGUGGACAUCCCUUGCACUUAAAACAGUGUCUAUAAAGUAAACGUCAUACCUUUGUCAGGUUAUUCAGGAUUGCCGCCAAGCUCAGUACAGUAUUAACUAUUGCUUGAUCAUUAAUGGUUCUUUAUGGUACUGCUAAAAAAGAAUCAUGAUAAAUAUAAUGUACAGUGUAACAAAAAGUACGUAUACAAGUGAUUUGAAAGAAGAAAAAAGGGGGUAAUAAUAUGCAUAAAAGAAAUGACAAAGGGAAGGAGGUACAAGCCAUCUGUUUGAUUAUAAAUAUACAUGUAGUACCAUCAAUUAAGUAUACAGUACCCUGUAUAUGCAUUUUUAUAGUUGAAGCAAGAGGAAAGAACCUAUGGUAUAUCUGUUGGUUAUGCAGACGUCAUAUACAGUACAAGUACUAGUAGCGUAGUUGUUCAAGCCUUUUCCAUUGCCAUAGACAUUAGAAAAAUAAUUAUAAAUACAAUAUUGAAUUCAUUUGUAACAUCAAAUCUUUCUAGUUUAGUUUCUCCCAUUUUUAAUCCUUAUUUUCAGUUGUGUAGCCUGUUUUCUUUGUCAUUAUUUCUAUACCAUUUUCUUUUUGCAUUUCUCCUAUUUAUUCUUGACACUUAAAGUUUAUGCUCUUGUUUUAUUGCAUACGUAGUUAGUUUCCUCUCAUGUGAACACCUAUUAUUCUUUAAGCUGCUGAAUGCAGACUUUCCUCCCAUAGUCUGGUAAGUAUGCUGUAUCAGUCUUGGAGGCUUCCUUGUUCACCUGCCUCCUCACCACUUUAGUAACUCAUUCAAAGUUUUCAAUUUUGAAGGGAAAUUAAUAAAUACUUUACAGGAUGGAUGGGCACCUCUCACACUCAUUGAUUAGAAUUUUAAAGCCUCUUGAGUACUGUACAUGGCUUAACUGAAUACUUUCUGUUACCUGUACUGUGUUGUGUUUUAAAGACUGCUCUGACUGCAGGGAAGGACAGGGUAUUGUUCAGUGUGUUUGAGUUUCAAUUUUGUUACAGUUUGUAAAUCUUUGUGGGUUAUAAGUUAGUGUUGUAUAUAAUAUCAAGAUGAUAGUGGUCAAAGGUUGUGUUUGUUGGGUUUAUGAUGGGAGACAUAGUGUUCAUUUAUACAGGUAUCUUCACCAGUAGAUUCAAUUAAUAUCACUGCCAUAGAAAUACACGAUCUUGAUGCCUGUAUAAAAAUAGCAGAAUCCUUUCGAGUAAACUGACAGUGUUAUGAAGCAAAUGAGGUCACCAUUUGUGUUUGCAGAUCAUAUAUUUGAGUGGCCUAAUGUGCCAUACUGCUUCCAUUAUUGGUACUUAUCACUACAGUACAGUACCAGGAGGAGCACAGGAGAUGGGUUCUUUGUGUUUUGGGGUUAUAAUUUUUACACAAGUGUAUAUGGUGAAGAUUACUAUUUUUUUUCUUUUAAUACCUGUAUUGGAAAAUAUUUGUGUUUGUCAUGCUUUAUUUAUGAUAUUAAUCAUUAUGUGCACCUGGAACUUGCCUUGUUGAUAAGAAGAUUGACAGAAUGCAUCGACAGUGCCUCAUUUGUUACCUCAGGAGAGAGUUGCACGUUCCUGCAAAAUAUCAAAAUGACAUGGAGUAAUGUUUAUUAAUAAAGGAAAUGAUAAAU